rnacentral:rRNA from 1 species
ACACAUGCAGUCGACGGUAACAGGUCUUCGGAUGCUGACGAGUGGCGGACGGGUGAGUAAUGCGUAGGAAUCUGUCUUUGAGUGGGGGACAACCCAGGGAAACUUGGGCUAAUACCGCAUAAGCCCUGAGGGGGAAAGCGGGGGAUCUUCGGACCUCGCGCUGGAAGAGGAGCCUACGUCUGAUUAGCUAGUUGGUAGGGUAAAGGCCUACCAAGGCGACGAUCGGUAGCUGGUCUGAGAGGACGACCAGCCACACUGGGACUGAGACACGGCCCAGACUCCUACGGGAGGCAGCAGUGUGGAAUUUUUCGCAAUGGGGGCAACCCUGACGAAGCAAUGCCGCGUGAAUGAAGAAGGCCUUCGGGUUGUAAAGUUCUUUCGUGGAGGACGAAAAGGUGGGUGCUAAUAUCGCCUGCUGUUGACGUGAAUCCAAGAAGAAGCACCGGCUAACUCCGUGCCAGCAGCCGCGGUAAUACGGGGGGUGCAAGCGUUAAUCGGAAUCACUGGGCGUAAAGGGUGCGUAGGCGGUGCAUUAGGUCUGUCGUGAAAUCCCCGGGCUCAACCUGGGAAUGGUGGUGGAAACCGGUGUACUAGAGUAUGGGAGAGGGUGGUGGAAUUCCAGGUGUAGCGGUGAAAUGCGUAGAGAUCUGGAGGAACAUCAGUGGUGAAGGCGGGCCAUCUGGCCCAAUACUGACGCUGAGGCACGAAAAGCGUGGGGAGCUAACAGGAUUAGAUACCCUGGUAGUCCACGCCCUUAAGAUUGAAAUCUAA